ACACACAUUUUGACCCUCAGCAUUUGGCAGG
rnacentral:piRNA from 1 species